GCGCCCGUAGCUCAAUUGGAUAGAGCAACGGACUUCGGAUCCGUAGGUUGUAGGUUCGACUCCUGUCGGGCGCACCA
rnacentral:tRNA from 2 species